rnacentral:rRNA from 1 species
AUGGCGAAAGACCAGCGCCAGUCUGCAUGGACGGACCUGCAACCAGAUCUCCUGCUCCUGGUCCUCCACCACCUCACGUCCCUCUUGGACCGCGUCCGAGCAGGCGCCGUCUGCAGGUCGUGGCGCUCCGCCUCCAGCCUGCUCCCACCGACGCGGCUCCCCUGGGUCGUGUUCGGCGACGGCACCCUCUUCGACCUCGCCAACGACAGCGCCCUGCACCCGCACUACCGCCUGCGUCUCCCCGAUGACUGCUGGCGCUACAGCGCCGGCGAGAACAUGAUGUUUCUCGCGCACCAGCGCGAUGGCAGCUGCUCCCUCAUCAACGCUCUCUCCGGUGACAGGACCGAUCUCCCUGAGCUGGCUGCUAUGUUGCGGUAUGACAACCUCAGGCGCACCCCCCAUGACCCACACGAGCCCACGAUGGCUAUAGGAAAGGUGGUGUUAUCUUCAGCGCCGGACGACCCCAUCGUCGCCGUCCUGCUCAAAAACAAAAUCUUCGUUUCUACUUGCCGGCCGGCCGGAGAGAGCAACUCGUGCCUGGUGGUGUUGGCUCGCGAGGCCGUCGACAUUGCUCUGUUUCAAGGGCAGAUCUACGCCCUCUCCACGAGCCAUGUCCUCAAGAACCUCAACCUCAGCAAUGGUCACCUUGACAAACCGACGCCGCCUGGCGUCGAACCAAAAUUGCUGUGCGGUUUAGAUUUGAUAAACAACUCGUGGUCAUGGCAGCAACAUGAGCAAGAUGAAGAAGACGUUUUCAAGCAAGAUGAAGAAGACGUUUUCGCUGACCCCCUGGUCGAGCUAUAUCUAGUUGAGUCUGGCGGCAAGCUCUUGAUGGUGAAGCGAUGGCUCCGCCACCAAUGGAUGCCCUGCUUCCCGGAAGGUAGAAGAACGUUCUGCUUGCAGGUGUGGGAGGCAGGCAUCAGCGAAGGCCAGUGGAAGAAGUUGGACGGCAGCCUAGAAGGCCGGGCGCUCUUUGUGAGCAGGUCUUGCUCUAAGUCUUUGCCCGCCGGUCAUGGAGUUCGAGAAGACUGUAUCUACUUCCUGAAGAACCUCUAUGUGUCGAGGAAGCCGAACGCACCUCUCGGCGACUUUGGCGUGUACAACGUUAGAGACAAGAUGUUCACCCCUUUAUUGGGUGAGUCAAUGCCAUUGCUGCCAUGGAAGAGCGGGCGGUUUCCAUCAUGGUUUUUUCAUGUUUAA